GCAGAGAGCCCUCUGCUCCACAGGGAGCUCCUCGUCUAGCAAGGGGCUCGGCUCUCCGCAUCACCACGCAGCCACUUGUUUGCUCUGACUGCAGGAUUCAGGAUUCAAAGAAUCACAGCGCGAGGGCUAAAAGGGCAAAAUGGCAUCAAGGAGCUCCAGAAUCACCUGGCUACAAACCAAAGCUUUGUUCCUUCUCUUCUACUGCAGCUCGAUAGUGCUCAGCUAGGCUUUUCUACAGGACUCAGCAGGACAGGGAGACCUCAGACAGCACUUCAGCUGGGAGCCACGAUGCAGCUCGUACUGCAAAGCCUACGCCCAGCAGGAUGGCUCAGGAGGAGGAGAAAACAACCUGAAUGGGGAAAAAGUCUGGUCUGAGAGAGACACAGAAUGGACUCCAGAGGUCCUGAGCCAUCCGGGAGGCUGAGCUGCUCCUGGGCUGUGCUCUCUGAUGCCUGAGACGUCACAAACCUGCCCGUGAUCACUCAAGCACUUGUCCAGUCUUGCUUCUUGUAGCCUGCUAAUAAAGGAAAAUACAUCAGUUCAUGUUUAGAACUUGGGAAAAAUAAUACAUUUUCCUGUGCUGAGGCAGAAUAAAAAAGAAAGGUCAAAAAUAAAUUCCCAUUAAAAAGCGGUUUUGGUGAAACAAACUUCUCUGCAUAAUCCAAUAAUCCCUAAUUUAAUUUUGGGUUCAUUUAGAUUAACUUGACAUGAACGUUUUCUCAUUUAUGACUGUAAAAUCCUUACUUUUACCUUUAUGGAGCUUUUAUUUAUAUUUUUGUAAAUGUAGGCCAAUUCUUAAACGAGUGCCAUUUAAAAAUUCAUUGCAAAUUUUCAUAUCAGUUGUAAAUAUUCUCCCCAAUUUGCUUCCUCCAUUUAAUCCUUCCCGUUUUAGCAUUGCCAAUCUCAGUUUUUGAAUAGGUCUACUCCUCCCAAUCCCUGCUAUUAAAAAAAUCUUCUACUUGCCUAAAGGAGUUUGGGUCUCAGGGGAAGAGUUACAUGCAGAAAACACUCUGAAGACAAAGCGUUAAGUAGUACCAUAAAUCUAUGUCCUGUAAGGUUCGCUGCAGGACUGUUUGCUUUCUUAUAAAACACUUACCCAACUUCCUUUUGAAGGCAUGCUCAAUUUUGGACAGAAAGUCCCUGGAAUCUGCCACUACAGUUCUAGCAUUUAAUGUGCAAAAAAAAGCUCUACAUAAUAAAGCCAUGUGUUUUCAAUUUGUGAUUGAGCAAGCAGACUAGAGUCUAAAUCAUAAUAAAAAACUGACGUCCUCCUAUA